GAUUUUUUGGGCCAUGCUACGAUGAAGAACAUUGACCGUGGCGGAAAAGAAGGCGUCUCGUUGUGUACUGCAAUUGCCAGUCAAUUCAAG
rnacentral:rRNA from 1 species